rnacentral:lncRNA from 10 species
GCAUGUCAGAGCAUGCGACCCUGAGGAACCAGUGUCUGAGCAAAGACAAGGUUAUUACUGCCACAUGAAAAUGAUGUAACCUGGACAUCAGGCUCUGGGGAACAGAAGGCAAGUCAGAUGGGUCAAUAGAUGGUGACAAAACACGGAGGUCAAUAGGUUGAAGAUCCUGAUAAACUGGAGAGCUAUGAGCCUGGGCAUGUAAGAAGCUUGGAAAUCAUCACUCAUGUAUUUACAAGAAGAAAAAAACUGAACAAACUGAAAAUCAUUGGCUCUCCAUCAACACUCAGAGGACUGAAGCUGCAUGGCAAUUUGACACCCUGAAAUCUGGAGAGACAGAUGGAUACAGAGAGUCACAGCCAAGAUCUCACCAGGAGCAGAUGCCUCUGGAGCCACAAACUGGUUGGGGCUCUCCCAGCUCUCUCAUGUGAAGGCCAUUUUCCAGGUUCUUCCUGAAAUCUUUCUGGAUUGAUGCUUUUGGAAGCAGGUGAGAGAAGAACCUGGCCCGCUG